rnacentral:rRNA from 1 species
UACGUAGGGUGCGAGCGUUAAUCGGAAUUACUGGGCGUAAAGCGUGCGCAGGCGGUUCGUUAUGUCCGUUGUGAAAGCCCCGGGCUCAACCUGGGAAUGGCAAUGGAAACUGGCGGGCUAGAGUGUGGCAGAGGGGGGUGGAAUUCCGCGUGUAGCAGUGAAAUGCGUAGAGAUGCGGAGGAACACCGAUGGCGAAGGCAGCCCCCUGGGCUAGCACUGACGCUCAGGCACGAAAGCGUGGGGAGCAAACAGGGA